ensembl:lncRNA
GCUGAUCCCAGCCUGGACUCUGAGCCCCGGGAGAUGUCUGGGCCGUGGCCCGUAGCUGGGGUCUUGGCCUCUGCCCGGGGUGGGGGAGUUCAGGGAAGCCACCCCCUCAGAGCGUCCCACUGGGCUGUCAGGAAGGAAGCGUGUUGUCAGGACAGCAAAGCCAGAAGGGCGCUCAGCGGGGUUAGGGGGUUGGGGGGGGUCUCCCCAGCUGUGCGGACUCAGCGCAAGUUCAUCCAGGGUGCCUCUCGUGAGGGAGGGAGCCAGCGUCGCGUUGCGGGAUCAGCUGAAAUGCUUUCUUCCUGGGCACCACUAGCCAAGAGGAGGCUGAGGCCCUGCCACGGGGCCGCGCACUGGCGUUUUCCCACGGUCUGCAUGGCAUAACGUGACAGGUGUGCGACAUCCAAGGCCGCCCUCGGCAGCUCUGGGCUCUCUGGGCUCGCCCGGUCCGCCUCACUGUCCGUCACCCGGGCCCUCUGAGGGAACUCAGCCAGGCAGUGGUCAGCCACCAGGAUGCCAAGACCUCUGCACUGUCCCCGCCCAGUGAAGCACCGGCUCGUCCCACUCCCAUUUGCUCUCUGCCCUUGUCUGCUUCCAUCCUCCCAAUAUACCAGCACCGGCCUCAUCUUCAUGAAGGUGAUGAUGAUGAUGAAGAGGGACAGGAGGAGCAGGAGGAGGAGAAGGAGCAGAAGGAGCAGGAGGAGGAGGAGCAGAAGCAGGAGGAGGAGCAGGAGGAGGAGGAGCAGAAGCAGGAGGAGAAGCAGGAGGAGGAGGAGCAGGAGCAGGAGCAGGAGGAGGAGCAGGAGGAGGAGCAAGAGGAGGAGCAGGAGGAGGAGGAGCAGCAGGUAGAGGAGCAGGUGGAGGAGCAGGAGCAGGAGCAGGAGCAGGAGGAGCAGGAGGAAAGCCAGCAUUGGAAACUACAGCACAACCCGCCACCCCUUCCCAUGGCCUUCUGUGAACCGCUCCAGACCAAGCACAGAGCCCGUGGCCGGUCCACGGAUGCUCUGCACCCUCCUGGCCUCUGUCAGCACCAUCUCGGUGCCGCCGCUCAUCCUUUCCUGCCACCCUGCCCUCGCCCUUCAUCCCUGCACAGAGCUCCUGCUUCCCAGCAUCCGUUUUCUCCUAAGCACCAUCCAGCUGGAUGCAAGCCCACUCCUGCAUGUGGCUCCUACACUAGACACCCGCAAUUCUGAAGGUCAGUUAGACUUCAAAUUCAUUAAAGAUCCAGGGGACACUCGACAUUUAUCUGGUGGCACACAAAGAACACCUGAUAAAAAGUUAAUUUAGGAUGGAAUGACUAGAAGCCCUUGCCUGCGAAUGGAACGCUGAUGGAGAAACCCUGAAGUUAAGGGUGGGCAACUUUAUGAAGAAAAGAUGUUUAUCUAGCUCACAGCUCUGGAGGUUCAGGGCCCUGGCGCAGCACAUCAUGGUGGGUGGCAUUGCAAGGGUGGCAGUGUGCGAGAGGUGCCGGAAGCCAGACAGGGGGCUCCCCCAGCAGGGCCCACAUCUCAGCGGUCCUCAUGGGCACGGCGAGGACCACACACCCCACCCAAGCCACGGCAGCAUCUAACUGCAGAAGACAUCAUCAGAGGCCGAGAGAGCCAGUCACCCCGCCAGGAGGCGUUCUGGCCCAGAGGGGACAGCCCCACUGCAGUGGCAGAGGCCCAGGGGGAGGCUCCUCCUGUGGACCCCGGUGCUCUAGGAGGCCUGGGAAUCCAGUUGCCCAUGUGUAGAUCUGCACAGCUGGGACCCGACCUCAAGAUGAUGAUAUCUGGGUCACUGAGUUCUUUUCCACCUCAAAGAAAAUGACGGCAGGUCUCUUAGGGCUUGGCUGGUAUAAAUCCAUCUGCACAGCAAUGACAAUGCUCUGAAGCGAUUCAUUUUGCUGCGUGU